CUACCGUAUCUUCCUCGGGAUCCAGAUCCGUUUUCCUCUUCGUGUUCAUCACCACACCAACCCGAGCCAGCCACCUCUCCUUCCACUCUGCCUCUCCAUCGGGAUCCACCUACAACACCCGAGCUCCUCUCAUGCUCCUCCCAUGGCGCCCUCGUUCCCGAGCGGAUCGAGCCAGCCGUCCCCGCCGGCGCUGAGCAGCAUCAGCUCGCGCCAGCUCCGGCGAGCCCUGCCGGAACCGCCGUCGCUCGAAGCUUCCUCGACCCUGUCGCCGACCAGAUCCGCGGCUGCCCUGCGCCGCCUGGCCUUCCCCGCCUGGACCUCGUCAGCCAGCAGCCCGCCAGGCCAGGCCAGUCUGCUCCGUCCGGCUACCUCCUGUCGUCCCCGUCGCCAUUGGACUGCGCCGCCGCACCGGAUCUCCUUCCUCGCCGGCCUUCCCUGCAGCCGCUGCCGCGCCGUUGACCCCGCCCUCGCCGCGCCCCUGUUUCCCCUGCUUCGAACGGCAUCAACGACGACGAAGCCGUCCUCCUGCGUUGACCGCGCCCUGCCUCGCCUCGUUGUGCCUGCGUGGCCGCAGCCAGCGCCAGGCCCAGCCAAAGCCGGCCCCUCUUGGGCCUCCUCCACCAAACGGGCUAAGCCCAGGCUUCGGUUUCGUUCCGGAGUUGUGAGGAUUCGUUCGACUCCGUCCGUUUGUCUUCUUCAUGGACUCGUUCUUCUUCCUUGCGGGAUUUCAGUUUGCAGGUGCCGAUGAAACCGUGCAGGUGACGCAUCCGAGCCCAAGGAGGAGCUCGAUGAAGAUCUCGUUCUUUGUGUUAUUUCGUUUCAGUUGAUCAGUAGUGGAGCCCAGUUGGGACGAUCGGGGAUCUGUGUAGCAUUUGGGGUAGUCUUCUUUUAUUUUGGUUCCGUAGUCGGACCUUGAUUGUAUCUGGUUGUUGUAAUGCUUUAUUCAUGUAUUGUGUGAAGUGGUGAUUGUAAGCCAACUAUGUAUCUAUUUUCCCUUAUGUAUUAC
rnacentral:rRNA from 1 species